rnacentral:rRNA from 1 species
CUGACGAUGCGACGCCGCGUGGAGGAUGAAUGCCUUAGGGUUGUAAACUCCUGUCAAGAGGGAAUACGCAAGUGAAGGUACCUCUAGAGGAAGGGGCGGCUAAUUCCGUGCCAGCAGCCGCGGUAACACGGAAGCCCCGAGCGUUGUUCGGAUUCAUUGGGCGUACAGGGUGCGUAGGCGGCGCGGAAAGUCCGGCGUGAAAGGCAGGGGCUCAACCUCUGGACUGCGUUGGAUACUUCCGUGCUUGAGGACUGGAGGGGAGACUGGAAUUCACGGUGUAGCAGUGAAAUGCGUAGAUAUCGUGAGGAAGACCGGUGGCGAAGGCGAGUCUCUGGACAGAUCCUGACGCUGAGGCACGAAGGCUGGGGGAGCGAACAGGAUUAGAUACCCUGGUAGUCCCAGCAGUAAACGAUGUGAGCUUGAUGUGGGGGGAUUCGACCCCUUCCGUGUCGAAGCUAACGCGAUAAGCUCACCGCCUGAGGAGUACGGCCGCAAGGCUAAAACUCAAAGAAAUUGACGGGGACCCGCACAAGCGGUGGAGUAUGUGGCUUAAUUCGAUGCAACGCGAAGAACCUUACCUGGCCUUGACAUGCAUUGUGUCGUCGGUGAAAGCCGGCCAGUCCUGGAAACAGGACGCUUUGCACAGGUGCUGCAUGGCUGUCGUCAGCUCGUGUCGUGAGAUGUUGGGUUAAGUCCCGCAACGAGCGCAACCCUUGUGGUCAGUUACUAACCGGCUUAGCCGGAGGACUCUGGCCAGACUGCCCUGUCAAACGGGGAGGAAGGUGGGGACGACGUCAAGUCAGUAUGGCCCUUAUGGCCAGGGCUGCACACGUACUACAAUGCCCGGUACAAUGUGAACCGAAACCGCGAGGUGGAGGAAAUCGCUCUUGAAAACCGGGCCCAGUUCGGAUUGGAGUCUGCAACUCGACUCCAUGAAGUCGGAAUCGCUAGUAAUGGCGUAUCAGCAACGACGCCGUGAAUACGUUCCCGGGUCUGUACACACCGCCCGUCACAUCAUGGAAGUCUCCUGUACCCGAAGCACGUGCGCCAACCUUUCAGGAGGCAGCGUUCGAAGGUAUGG